rnacentral:rRNA from 1 species
UAAGAUGGGCGAAGCCUGCUCCGCCCCUCCGCGUGCAGGAUGAAGGCCCUCGGGUCGUAAACUGCUUUUGUACAGAACGAAAAAGUCUCUAUUAAUACCAGGGGCUCAUGACGGUACUGUAAGAAUAAGCACCGGCUAACUACGUGCCAGCAGCCGCGGUAAUACGUAGGGUGCAAGCGUUAAUCGGAAUUACUGGGCGUAAAGCGUGCGCAGGCGGUUAUAUAGGUCAGAUGUGAAAUCCCCGGGCUCAACCUGGGAACUGCAUUUGAGACUGUAUAGCUAGAGUACGGCAGAGGGGGAUGGAAUUCCGCGUGUAGCAGUGAAAUGCGUAGAUAUGCGGAGGAACACCGAUGGCGAAGGCAAUCCCCUGGGCCUGUACUGACGCUCAUGCACGAAA